GGUCUGGUGGUGUAGUUGGGAACAUGUCUUCAAUAGAUAAAAUAUUCAUGAAGGACAAGAGGAAGUCCCUUGUUCAAAUCAAGGUCAGGCUC